UACGUAGGGUGCAAGCGUUUAAUCGGAAUACUGGGCGUAAAGCGUGCGCAGGCGGUGAUGUAAGACCGAUGUGAAAUCCCCGGGCUUUAACCUGGGAACUGCAUUGGUGACUGCAUUGCUAGAGUAUGGCAGAGGGGGGUGGAAUUCCACGUGUAGCAGUGAAAUGCGUAGAGAUGUGGAGGAACACCGAUGGCGAAGGCAGCCCCCCUGGGCCAAUACUGACGCUCAUGCACGAAAGCGU
rnacentral:rRNA from 1 species